UUUAGAUGGGAUGCAGUGACAGCAUUCAUGGGAUCUUGCCUGUGUAUGUGGAGGAGGAUGCUGGAAAUAACAACCUCUCAUUUAAGGCAGUGAGAGAGCAGCUGCCAGCCAAGAUCACCCCAGCCACCAGUAAAUAUAUGCCUUUGGAGUAGCUCUUGGUAAUACUAGUUUGGUAGGUCUGUGAUGAACUCAGAAGACACCACUGUAGGACCAUUCAGGGAAGCUGCAGUUCAAUCUGCCCAUUUG